GACAGAUCACGCACAACUGUCCAUCUGGAAUGUUUGAUGAUAACUCGUCGUCUGGAAUGGCUGCUACCUCGUCGUCUGAUGCAGUUCCAAAAUCACCAUAAAUGGAAAUGUCAUUGCUUGAAUCCAGUUGUGACGUGGUGGAAUCAUUCCCUGAAUUCUGUAACUGUCUAUGUUGCCUCCUCCAUUGUUUCCAUCUAUUCCAAUUUCUCACAACAGAAUAACCAAGAAUG
rnacentral:misc_RNA from 1 species